CCUACGGGUGACAGCAGUGAGGAAUAUUGGUCAAUGGGCGAGAGCCUGAACCAGCCAAGCCGCGUGAAGGAUGAAGGAUCUAUGGUUUGUAAACUUCUUUUUUAUGGGAAUAAAGUGAGGAACGUGUUCCUUUUUGUAUGUACCAUAUGCUUAAGCAUCGGCUAAGUCCGUGCCAGCAGCCGCGGUCAUACGGAGGAUGCGAGCGUUAUCCGGGUUUGUUGGGUUUAAAGGGUGCGUAGGUGGGUAAUUAAGUCUGCGAGGAAAGUUUGUGGCUCAAACAUAAAAUUGCCGUUGAAACUGGUUGACUUGAGUAUAUUUGAGGUAGGCGGAAUGCGUGGUGUAGCGGUGAAAUGCAUAGAUAUCACGCAGAACUCCGAUUGCGAAGGCAGCUUACUAAACUAUAACUGACGCUGAAGCACGAAAGCGUGGGGAUCAAACAGGAUUAGAUACCCCUGUAGUC
rnacentral:rRNA from 1 species